rnacentral:rRNA from 1 species
GAUGAACGCUGGCUACAGGCUUAACACAUGCAAGUCGAGGGGAAACGCCGGGGAAGCUUGCUUCCCCGGGCGUCGACCGGCGCACGGGUGAGUAACGCGUAUCCAACCUGCCUCUGACUGAGGGAUAACCCGUCGAAAGUCGGCCUAAUACCUCAUGGCAUCGUCUGCGGGCAUCCAACGACGAUUAAAGAUUUCAUCGGUCAGGGAUGGGGAUGCGUCUGAUUAGCUUGUUGGCGGGGUAACGGCCCACCAAGGCUACGAUCAGUAGGGGUUCUGAGAGGAAGGUCCCCCACAUUGGAACUGAGACACGGUCCAAACUCCUACGGGAGGCAGCAGUGCGGAAGAUUGGUCAAUGGGCGGGAGCCUGAACCAGCCAAGUAGCGUGCAGGAUGACGGCCCUAUGGGUUGUAAACUGCUUUUAUGCGGGGAUAAAGUGAGGGACGUGUCCUUCAUUGCAGGUACCGCAUGAAUAAGGACCGGCUAAUUCCGUG